rnacentral:misc_RNA from 1 species
AAAAUGCGAUAAGUAGCGUGAAUUGCAGACGCUUUGAACGUUAAACCUUCGAACGCACAUUGCGCCAUAGGAGUCUUACCCUAUGGCACAUCUGGUUGAGGGUCGUGAUCAAACACAGCUAAGCUUGGGCUGUAUUAGUGCUAAUUGGCGAAUCAUCCGGCCGGCAUAUGUACUAUUGUUGGCGGUGUUUUGUCAUAAUGCUCUAGAGGGCACACCUUUUUAAUGGGUGCUUCCUUGCCAUACGGACGGGCUGCCUUCGACCGAUUAUGGACCGGCCUUCCAGGUAUCAUAAACGCCUUGGUGUAUACUUGGUUGGCUGUGUGUUCGUCGCUCGGCUAGUACCGUACGUACCUGGUAGUAGAUUUAAUUGAUCGCUUUCCCGACCUCAACUCAGGUGUGA